rnacentral:rRNA from 1 species
AUUGAACGCUGGCGGCAUGCCUUACACAUGCAAGUCGAACGGUAACAGAUCUUCGGAUGCUGACGAGUGGCGAACGGGUGAGUAAUACAUCGGAACGUGCCUAGUAGUGGGGGAUAACUACUCGAAAGAGUGGCUAAUACCGCAUGAGAUCUACGGAUGAAAGCAGGGGAUCGCAAGACCUUGUGCUACUAGAGCGGCCGAUGGCAGAUUAGGUAGUUGGUAGGAUAAAAGCUUACCAAGCCGACGAUCUGUAGCUGGUCUGAGAGGACGAUCAGCCACACGGGGACUGAGACACGGCCCAGACUCCUACGGGAGGCAGCAGUGGGGAAUUUUGGACAAUGGGCGCAAGCCUGAUCCAGCAAUGCCGCGUGCAGGAUGAAGGCCUUCGGGUUGUAAACUGCUUUUGUACGGAACGAAAAGCCCUGGGUUAAUACCCUGGGGUCAUGACGGUACCGUAAGAAUAAGCACCGGCUAACUACGUGCCAGCAGCCGCCGUAAGAC